rfam:Zea mays cultivar B73 chromosome 3, whole genome shotgun sequence.
AUACCUUUAUUGAUCUUUUGGCUAAAAUAAGGUGUAAUAUUUGUUUUUAUUAGUUUAAUAUCUGAUAUGUGAAUAAUAUAUUCACUCUUAUAUAAAAUUUAUUUUUUUUUAUGAAAAUUAGAUAUAAUUGUGUGCCGUCGUAUCCGGAUGAUAUUGAGAAAUGCUGCAUAACAUUAGAAAAGUUGUUGUGACAGCUAUGCUAUA